GAUGAACGCUAGCGGUGCGCCUAACACAUGCAAGUCGAGCGCCCUCACCCUGUUUUUGACAAGUGUCGAAGAUAGCGUGAGGGAGCGGCGAACGGGUGAGUAACACGUUGGAACCUACCUCGUACUCAGGGAUAGCCCACUGAAAAGUGGAUUAAUACCGGAUAGUCUCGUAAGAGUAAAGCUUUUGCGGUACGAGAGGGGCCUGCGGCCUAUCAGCUUGUUGGUAGUGUAAUAGACUACCAAGGCUACGACGGGUAUCUGGUGUGAGAGCAUGACCAGACACAAUGGGACUGAGACACGGCCCAUACUCCUACGGGAGGCAGCAGUGAGGAAUCUUCCGCAAUGGGCGAAAGCCUGACGGAGCGACACCGCGUGGAGGACGACGGCCUUUUGGUUGUAAACUCCUUUUCUGAGGGAAGAAAUGAUGACGGUACCUCAGGAAUAAGCACCGGCUAAUUACG
rnacentral:rRNA from 1 species